rnacentral:rRNA from 1 species
UACGGAGGGUGCGAGCGUUGUCCGGAAUUACUGGGCGUAAAGGGCGCGUAGGGGGCCUGUUAAGUCGAACGUGAAAUCCCCGGGCUCAACCCGGGAACUGCGUCCGAGACUGGCAGGCUUGAAUCCGGGAGAGGGAUGUGGAAUUCCAGGUGUAGCGGUGAAAUGCGUAGAUAUCUGGAGGAACACCGGUGGCGAAGGCGGCAUCCUGGACCGGUAUUGACGCUGAGGCGCGAAAGCCAGGGGAGCAAACGGG